GCAUAUCAAUAAGCGGAGGAAAAGAAACCAACAGGGAUUGCCCCCAGUAACGGCGAGUGAAGCGGCAAGAGCUCAAAUUUGAAAGCUGGCUCCUUCGGGGUCCGCAUUGUAAUUUGUAGAGGAUGCUUCGGGAGCGGUCCCCAUCUAAGUGCCCUGGAACGGGACGUCAUAGAGGGUGAGAAUCCCGUAUGGGAUGGGGUGUCCGCGCCCGUGUGAAGCUCCUUCGACGAGUCGAGUUGUUUGGGAAUGCAGCUCUAAAUGGGUGGUAAAUUUCAUCUAAAGCUAAAUAUUGGCCGGAGACCGAUAGCGCACAAGUAGAGUGAUCGAAAGAUGAAAAGCACUUUGAAAAGAGAGUUAAAAAGCACGUGAAAUUGUUGAAAGGGAAGCGCUUGCGACCAGACUCGCUCGCGGGGUUCAGCCGGCAUUCGUGCCGGUGUACUUCCCCGCGGGCGGGCCAGCGUCGGUUUGGGCGGUCGGUCAAAGGCCCUCGGAAGGUAACGCCCCUAGGGGCGUCUUAUAGCCGAGGGUGCAAUGCGACCUGCCUAGACCGAGGAACGCGCUUCGGCUCGGACGCUGGCAUAAUGGUCGUAAACGACCCGUCUUGAAACACGGACCAAGGAGUCUAACAUCUACGCGAGUGUUCGGGUGUCAAACCCGUGCGCGAAGUGAAAGCGAACGGAGGUGGGAACCCUCACGGGUGCACCAUCGACCGAUCCUGAAGUCUUCGGAUGGAUUUGAGUAAGAGCGUAGCUGUUGGGACCCGAAAGAUGGUGAACUAUGCCUGAAUAGGGCGAAGCCAGAGGAAACUCUGGUGGAGGCUCGUAGCGGUUCUGACGUGCAAAUCGAUCGUCGAAUUUGGGGUAUAGGGGGCGAAAGACUAAUCGAACCAUCUGGUAGCUGGUUCCCUGCCGAAG
rnacentral:rRNA from 1 species